UCUGUAAGCCUGCGAAGGUGUGCUGUGAGGCAUGCUGGAGGUAUCAGAAGUGCGAAUGCUGACAUAAGUAACGAUAAAGCGGGUGAAAAGCCCGCUCGCCGGAAGACCAAGGGUUCCUGUCCAACGUUAAUCGGGGCAGGGUGAGUCGACCCCUAAGGCGAGGCCGAAAGGCGUAGUCGAUGGGAAACAGGUUAAUAUUCCUGUACUUGGUGUUACUGCGAAGGGGGGACGGAGAAGGCUAUGUUGGCCGGGCGACGGUUGUCCCGGUUUAAGCGUGUAGGCUGGUUUUCCAGGCAAAUCCGGAAAAUCAAGGCUGAGGCGUGAUGACGAGGCACUACGGUGCUGAAGCAACAAAUGCCCUGCUUCCAGGAAAAGCCUCUAAGCAUCAGGUAACAUCAAAUCGUACCCCAAACCGACACAGGUGGUCAGGUAGAGAAUACCAAGGCGCUUGAGAGAACUCGGGUGAAGGAACUAGGCAAAAUGGUGCCGUAACUUCGGGAGAAGGCACGCUGAUAUGUAGGUGAAGUCCCUUGCGGAUGGAGCUGAAAUCAGUCGAAGAUACCAGCUGGCUGCAACUGUUUAUUAAAAACACAGCACUGUGCAAACACGAAAGUGGACGUAUACGGUGUGACGCCUGCCCGGUGCCGGAAGGUUAAUUGAUGGGGUCAGCGCAAGCGAAGCUCUUGAUCGAAGCCCCGGUAAACGGCGGCCGUAACUAUAACGGUCCUAAGGUAGCGAAAUUCCUUGUCGGGUAAGUUCCGACCUGCACGAAUGGCGUAAUGAUGGCCAGGCUGUCUCCACCCGAGACUCAGUGAAAUUGAACUCGCUGUGAAGAUGCAGUGUACCCGCGGCAAGACGGAAAGACCCCGUGAACCUUUACUAUAGCUUGACACUGAACAUUGAGCCUUGAUGUGUAGGAUAGGUGGGAGGCUUUGAAGUGUGGACGCCAGUCUGCAUGGAGCCGGCCUUGAAAUACCACCCUUUAAUGUUUGAUGUUCUAACGUGGACCCGUGAUCCGGGUUGCGGACAGUGUCUGGUGGGUAGUUUGACUGGGGCGGUCUCCUCCUAAAGAGUAACGGAGGAGCACGAAGGUUGGCUAAUCCUGGUCGGACAUCAGGAGGUUAGUGCAAUGGCAUAAGCCAGCUUGACUGCGAGCGUGACGGCGCGAGCAGGUGCGAAAGCAGGUCAUAGUGAUCCGGUGGUUCUGAAUGGAAGGGCCAUCGCUCAACGGAUAAAAGGUACUCCGGGGAUAACAGGCUGAUACCGCCCAAGAGUUCAUAUCGACGGCGGUGUUUGGCACCUCGAUGUCGGCUCAUCACAUCCUGGGGCUGAAGUAGGUCCCAAGGGUAUGGCUGUUCGCCAUUUAAAGUGGUACGCGAGCUGGGUUUAGAACGUCGUGAGACAGUUCGGUCCCUAUCUGCCGUGGGCGCUGGAGAACUGAGGGGGGCUGCUCCUAGUACGAGAGGACCGGAGUGGACGCAUCACUGGUGUUCGGGUUGUCAUGCCAAUGGCACUGCCCGGUAGCUAAAUGCGGAAGAGAUAAGUGCUGAAAGCAUCUAAGCACGAAACUUGCCCCGAGAUGAGUUCUCCCUGACCCUUUAAGGGUCCUGAAGGAACGUUGAAGACGACGACGUUGAUAGGCCGGGUGUGUAAGCGCAGCGAUGCGUUGAGCUAACCGGUACUAAUGAACCGUGAGGCUUAACCUUACAACGCCGAAG
rnacentral:rRNA from 1 species